CCAGAGAUGGAUUGGUGCCUUCGGGAACUGUGAGACAGGUGCUGCAUGGCUGUCGUCAGCUCGUGUUGUGAAAUGUUGGGUUAAGUCCCGCAACGAGCGCAACCCUUAUCCUUUGUUGCCAGCGGUUAGGCCGGGAACUCAAAGGAGACUGCCAGUGAUAAACUGGAGGAAGGUGGGGAUGACGUCAAGUCAUCAUGGCCCUUACGACCAGGGCUACACACGUGCUACAAUGGCAUAUACAAAGAGAAGCGACCUCGCGAGAGCAAGCGGACCUCAUAAAGUAUGUCGUAGUCCGGAUUGGAGUCUGCAACUCGACUCCAUGAAGUCGGAAUCGCUAGUAAUCGUAGAUCAGAAUGCUACGGUGAAUACGUUCCCGGGCCUUGUACACACCGCCCGUCACACCAUGGGAGUGGGUUGCAAAAGAAGUAGGUAGCUUAACCUUCGGGAGGGCGCUUACCACUUUGUGAUUCAUGACUGGGGUGAAGUCGUAACAAGGUAACCGUAGGGGAACCUGCGGUUGGA
rnacentral:rRNA from 1 species